UCGAGUUCCGAUUUCGGAAUGGUCAUGGCAGGUUAAGACAUGCGGAAUCUGCCAUUUGUUUGGGUGUGCUACCGAUCCUAACCCUAGGUCUGCUGCCUCGCCUCCGUCCCUUCUCCACCGAUGCGCCCGGUGGCUGCAGCGUGGCCGUGAUGCAGGUGACGAGGUCCAAUUUCAACGCGGCGCUGGAGGGCCUUAGGGCCUGCGUAGAGGAGUCGGACUUCGUGGUCGUUGACCUUGAGAUGACCGGCGUGACAAGUGCCCCAUGGAGGAACUCGUUCGAGUUCGACCGAUCCGAUGUCCGUUACCUUAAGCUGAAGGACUCCGUUGAGAAGUUCGCUGUCGUGCAGUUCGGUGUCUGUCCCUUCCGCUGGGAUUCAUCCAAGGGCUCCUUCUUCGCCCAUCCAUUAGUGUUCUUCAUCAUUUGGUUUUCGUUUUGUUAUGAUAGGGUUCAAUGUGGUUUUAGAGAAAAUGGAAGCGAUGAAUUGACUUCUCUAUCGGUUUUUUAUUUUUGUGGGGAAAAAAAUGAUCUUUACCUCAUUCUCCUGUUCAAAUCGAAUGCCUUGCUUAGGAUAUUCUUUCACGUUUUCUCCCUCUGGAAGCUAGGCCUGCUUGCGAUAAAGGUUAAAAACUGUUCAUAUGUCAAGCAUAUGAGAUUCAUGACUGAUUUUUGCGUGGUUUUACCUUAUCACUUCUUUUGACGGAUAUCCAAUUUAUGUUUUGAUGAGAUGGUGGUAGUUUACUGAUCAGGACUAUUCAUUUGAUAUUUUUGGGUUAAUUUAUCAUUCAUACUUGCUUGUUCUGUGGGACAAGUCUCGACAGACAUUGGUAGGUAAUUGUAGACGAAAUUUGUGUUAGAUCACUUAGUUAUUAAUAUAAGAUUCUGUAUGAUUUCAUGUUUGUAGAAAUUUGUUGGAUUUCGUGUGACAUCUGCAGCUCUUUACAUUGCAGGCAUAACUUCUAUAUCUUUCCACGGAAUGAGUUGCCACUUCAUGGGCCACCUGAUGAUUUCCUAUGGCAAGUAACAUCCAUCGACUUCCUUGCUAAAUGCCAAUUUGACUUCAAUGCAUGCAUAUAUGAAGGUUGUGAAAAAGCACUUCAAUGACUUCAUGUAUGUUCGUGUUGUUGAUGAGGACAACUCAUGGCAAAUUAAAGGAGGGUAGUCUAUGUCGACACAAAUGAAGAUAAGACUGUAUUGAUGAAAGAUGUCCUUGAAGAUCUGAGAAAAAAUGCAGAAAAAAGAAUCAAGUCUUCUGUUGGAUUUUGGCAUGUUGUUGAUCUUCUUGCAUCAACAGAAAAAUUGAUUGUCGGUCAUAAUUGUCUUCUAGGUUGUUACAUAUUGUUUCCUUAUAGCCACAAUGUUCUAACUAAUUUGUAGAUGAGAAUGAGGUUAUCUAGAGGUAAUCAAGUUAUCCAAGAAUGAUCCGUAAUUAUUUAAUUAGGUAAUUCUACUUUUCCAUAUUCUAUUGUGACUUAUGUUUCACUCGUUAGUAUCAUGCAGGAUACCAAGAGCAAACGCUGCAUUAGCCACAACAACAAAGAGCAAAUGUUGGAUUCAAAACCAUCUUUUAAUCUUUUGCUUGAUUUUCUCAACAAAAUUGGUUGGUUCAUUAAUUUGUACAAGAGAAGCAAUUUAUCUCAUGAAAUUCGAAGACAAGGAGGGCAAAAAGAAGAAAUUGAAGGCAUGCAUGCUAUUAGCUCGAGGAUGGAGGAACAAAUUAUUGAAAGGAAAAAAAACUUGUUAUUACAUAAAGUAGGCAGAGGAAAGAAAAUCGUAUUGAGGAAGGUAGGCAAAGAGAAGAAAAUCUCAAGGAGAUGAUUCGGAAAUGAUUCAAGAAAUGGAAUAUACAAAUCAUUUAUAUCUAGGAGAAUUUGGUCUUUAUAGUUUGAUUAUUGGUCAAAUUUAUUUGGAUAAUGUAAAUAUUUAUUUAUUUUAAUGUUAAUUGUAUAAUACAUUUGGAAUUAGAAGUUAUUUCUUUUUAAUAAAUUUAAUUUAUUUGAAAUAAA